UUUUUACAGAAAAUCCUCAGCAGACACCGUCCAGCAGACAGGCGUGGCCAGGGCGUACGCGUCCCGGUGUUCAUUUCCAGGCAGCGCCUCGGGAUUCGCGACGUGAAUCAAGGUCCUGUUUGACAUGUAAACAGCAGUAAAAGCCGGUGUCUUUCUAAACACCGAGAGAUUAAAUGUCGCCGAACCUGAUGGGCCAGCGUACCGGGAUCCCCCCGCCCCCCAAGAGGAUAGGUUCGCCUUUUGGAAGAUCCUUGCCGCUGGGAGCAGCUUCCCUGGGAAACCCCCGUGGGGAGCCGCGGUUUGACCCGGUGUCGGCGGACAGGAAUUUGCCUAUCCUGGGCCUCUGCGAUGUCCCAGCAAGCCCCGAUUCCGGGACGUGGUGUAAUUUUAGAGUUUGCUAAUGAGCUUGCCUGUGUGCCCGGCACACAGUGUGUGCCUUGAGGAUUGGCAGUGCAGGCUGGUAAUCCUGCUAACCUGGCCCUGGCAGGUGGUGACAACUCCUUUAAUUGUUCUAGGAUUGAGAGCUGGCUUCUUGCUAUGCACAAAGCCUGGUGUGGAUGAGUAAAAUGAGGGAGAAAAUUAUUUUUGCUAAUAAUUCUUUUCCAUUCUGCCUUGAUGGUGGCUGUCGGCAUGCUCCCCUCUGCAAGCUUAGGCACCAUGCUGGACCUGUCAGCUGUGGGAUCCAAGGCUUAGGUUUGCUGGGACAUAAAACUGUGAUAAAACAUUUAUGUUCCAGUAAGCGACACCUCUCUGAUAGUUAUUUAAAGUCUCUGUCUGCAUUGUUCCAGAACUAUUUCCUUUUUCCUCUAAGCAACCUAGAGUAGGAAGCUGACAGUCCCUCAGGUAACCCGCUUUCACCUCGCUGGAAGCCUCGCCUGAUGUUGGAUUGGAGGCCAGCAGAACCCACAGAGGAUACUCCGAGUGCAGCAGACAGCAGAGAUGUGCAUUGCUGGAAUCCAGAGUGUUUCGUAAUUUGGCAGCCACUUGCUGAAAGCCCUGCAGAUACAAAACAACACUUAUUUCAAGUCUUGAGAAACAUCUACUAAGUAGAAGAAAAAAGCAUUUAGAGCGUGUUUCACCUCUAUAUGUGCUGACAAGAUCAGAAGUGCAGGGUGCCAGCAUGACUGUGACUGUGUUGAACAAUGCACACCAAUGCUUUCAGAAAUACAGUGGGAUCCUCAAGCUGUAUGCAAAAGACAAGAAGGAGAUGACCCUAUUCAGUGUGAUGAUUUUUCUUUCACUGCUACAUACGUAAAAGUGUCUGGAAAUCUAUUAUCCAAGGGACACAAAACCAGCUUUUGGACAGGCUGCUCUUCCUGCUAAAACCUGGUAAAUGCAGAGACCUGACUGUGUGAAAGAGCAAUUUAUAUUAGGAUUGGAAUUCACUUCAGGCUUUACUGCUAUUUGUCACCACUCAGGAAACCCAUCCCUAGCUCUAGGAGAACACUCAAUCCCUGCUGACAGCCUGGAAGAGGAAGAGAAAAUAGCAGAGCUGCAGCUAUUAAGACCAACAGGCAAAUAUUUUAUUCAAACUCAACUUUUUCUUCCCAAGUUACUUUUAAGAAUGUUUUUCUGUUUGUGGGAAUGUGAAUGUGGGUUGUUUGUUUGUUUGUUUUCCUGGGGACUCUUCUAUUCAGCUGCUUCAUCUUCUCCCACCUUUCAGACAGCAGAGCUUGCAGCAGUGACAAGAUGUAAUCCCAAGUAAAACUGCCUCUGCCUGUGGCCUUGGUUAACCUGCUGGCAGUGAUACGUGCCUGGGCACGGGGCAGCUGUUUUACACAGCUCAGCAUGGACGUGCUGCCACUCCCAGUCACUUUUAGGACCCAGUUGAGUUGUUUACAGCAAUCUCAAAAAAAGCUUGUAAUAAAAAUUGUUCUGCCUUCCUGAAGCCACCACUCCCAGAGACCUUUCCCCUUUCUUGUAUACUGUGGGAGCCUCCUUCCUUUGGCUUCACACCUUUAUCAGCUGAAAAUGAUCCAGUACAGAACUGGUUGUUGUCAGGCUCUCCCUUAGAAAGAUGAGCUACACUGCCACUCCAUUGUGACUGUUGAGAACUGGAAGGUCAGAGAGGAACGCAGGGAAGUGGAAGCCUGCACCCUCUUUUAUGUGGAACAGUCAGGAUAUGCCCUUGUAUAAAGUUCAGCAGAGGAAAACUUGGGCUACACUCGCAUUCCUACAUACCAUGCCAUACCAGUCAGCCUGGUACUAAUCUUCACGGACCUUUGAAGGCAUGAAACAACAUGCAGUGUAAAUGAAAUCUAAGCCACACCAUACCAGAUUAUUGGUGCCAGCCAGUUUUAGAAGACUGACACAAGAGCCAAGUGAAACAGGUACAGUGGUAGGAGAUGCCUUGUACCACCUGCAGGCACACAGACCCACAGCACUUGUGCAGCAUCCGAGUCCAAAAGCAAUGUGUGGCAUGUAAAGAGCUGGGGAACCCAGGGCCACUUAGACUUGAAUGCACUUUCCUGGGGAGGAAGUGGCUUUUCCCUUGGAAAGCUCAACUCCCCAGGGUCUGAAUGAGGUCAAUGGAAAAAGUGAUUUCUUCAGAAUAUUAUUCAGAGUGCCUAAGCAUAGUCUUAUCUUAUUGACUACAGGCAAAGCUCAACCUCUGUAGACUUAAACUAGCUUUUGUGAAUACCCAUCCCCUCUUGCCCCUUAAUUGUGGGAGUUACACUAGUCCUGGACAUGGUUAGUUCUUGGUAGACCCACUGCCUACUGAAAUUCAGGUGCUGCAAACCUCAGCUCGGAGAAGCACAGAAUUUCCUGUUGGAUCCUGCUUUGUCCUUUUGAAUUACCCUGCGAUGUCAGAAAUGGAUUUGCAAGUACCAGAAGAAUGAAGUUGAGAAAGGUUGAUUUCUUUAGGGAUGCCCUGAUUGGAGCUGGAAUAAUCAGCAUCUGUUUCAGUUUAACUGAGUUUUUCAUUCUGGCCUUUCUCCCCUUUCAAAGUACAGGCAACUGAAGCCUUUAAUUUGCUCUGUCUUUUCACUGCAGAGAAAAGUAGGAGUUUCUAACAGCUGAUACUAUCCUGUGUAGAAUAGCUACACUAAAAAACCACAGUUUAUUGUCUGUUGUGAAUGAAAAAGCUCUUGCUUGUUUGUUUGUCGUGUUGACUUUGAAAGAUAAAUUGUUUGAACUGGU